CCUCCCCCUCCCUCCCCCCCCACCCCCCCACCCGCGCCAUCCAAUAGCUCCACUCCCCCGGACGCAUCUUCUCCGCCAAUUUUGGAGGCCGAGGGUGCUCAUUUUUCCCCAGAUCCGUCCCAAAGCUUCGCGAGCGGCCUUGUAGCAGGCGGAUCCAGUUGGUUCCGACCCCGGUGAGCCUCGGAAUGGCGCGAGGGACAAACGCACACGCCGGUGUCACGGCCAAGGGGUUUGCCCGAUUUGCUCCAGUGGGCGUAUGAGAAGAAAAGGGUGGCACUUGAUUCCGGCUGGCGGAAUUGCAUCCGGGGAAGAUGGAUGCUUGGAGUUCUUCGUCGUCCUCUUCGUCAUAUGAUUUUGACAUAGAGGAGAUGAUUUUGGACGACGAUGUCUACAACCUAGUGUUGUUGCAUCUAAUGGACAAAUUUGAAAAGGGCCCUAAGAGAAAGCGUUGCGGAUCCACGGUUGGCCGGCUUUGCAUUCCGCGCAACCGAGCUCUUGCGGACAAGAUGGUCAUGAAGGACUACUUCGCCAAGUCGCUGCCUCGGACGAGACCAUACUGACUCGGUGGGAGGCUACAUCAAUACUGUUAGGAUACGAUGACAGUUACAGAAAAGAAGGUACAGCCUGGAGAGCAAAAAGCAGGAGUUCUAGAUGAGACAAUGAAGGGCGAGGGUGGCGCAGCUUAAAUCAAUUAUUCCUUAGCAUGCUUGUCUACUCAGAUAUUUAUGAUGCUGCAUUCUAUCGACAACCAUCUAUUUCUUUAUAUAUAUUUUUUGUUUGUACCUAGUAUUAUUUAUUGCAACCAUGAUCAAUGGCUUUGCUGAAUGGGAUUGAAAAAGAAUGUGGUGGACUGACAAUUCGACAUGCAUGGUAUUGUUUUAUCUAGAGGUAAAUACACCACAAGUGGCUAAACUUGUCUGGCGUGUUCAGUUUA